rnacentral:rRNA from 1 species
CGAACGCUGGCGGCAGGCCUAACACAUGCAAGUCGAACGCAUGCCUUCGGGCAUGAGUGGCGCACGGGUGAGUAACGCGUGGGAACCGACCCUGGGGUUGGGGAUAACCGCUGGAAACGGCGGCUAAUACCCAAUACGCCUUGAGGGGGAAAGAUUUAUCGCCCUGGGACGGGCCCGCGUUGGAUUAGGUAGUUGGUGGGGUAACGGCCUACCAAGCCUACGAUCCAUAGCUGGUUUGAGAGGAUGAUCAGCCACACUGGGACUGAGACACGGCCCAGACUCCUACGGGAGGCAGCAGUGGGGAAUAUUGGACAAUGGGGGCAACCCUGAUCCAGCCAUGCCGCGUGAGUGAAGAAGGCCUUAGGGUUGUAAAGCUCUUUCAGUGGUGAAGAUGAUGACGGUAGCCACAGAAGAAGCCCCGGCUAACUCCCGUGCCAGCAGCCGCGGUAAUACGGAGGGGGCAAGCGUUGUUCGGAAUUACUGGGCGUAAAGGGCGCGUAGGCGGAUAUUCAAGU